rnacentral:rRNA from 1 species
AACCUCCGCAAUGUGAGAAAUCGCGACGGGGGGAUCCCAAGUGCCAUUCUUAACGGGAUGGCUUUUCAUUAGUGUAAAGAGCUUUUGGAAUAAGAGCUGGGCAAGACCGGUGCCAGCCGCCGCGGUAACACCGGCAGCUCUAGUGGUAACAAUUUUUAUUGGGCCUAAAGCGUCCGUAGCCGGUUUAAUAAGUCUCUGGUGAAAUCCUGCAGCUUAACUGUGGGAAUUGCUGGAGAUACUAUUAGACUUGAGACCGGGAGAGGUUAGAGGUACUCCCAGGGUAGAGGUGAAAUUCUGUAAUCCUGGGAGGACCGCCUGUUGCGAAGGCGUCUAACUGGAACGGUUCUGACGGUGAGGGACGAAAGUUAGGGGCGCGAACCGGAUUAGAUACCCGGGUAGUCCUAACUGUAAACGAUGCGGACUUGGUGUUGGGGUGGCUUUGAGCAGCUUCAGUGCCGAAGGGAAGCUGUUAAGUCCGCCGCCUGGGAAGUACGGUCGCAAGACUGAAACUUAAAGGAAUU